rnacentral:rRNA from 1 species
GACGAACGCUGGCGGCGUGCUUAACACAUGCAAGUCGAACGGAAAGGCCCUUCUUUGCAGGGGUACUCGAGUGGCGAACGGGUGAGUAACACGUGGGUGACCUGCCCUGGACUUUGGGAUAACUUCGGGAAACUGGGUCUAAUACCGGAUAGGACGACCGGCUGCAUGCUAUUGUGGAAAGUUUUUCGGCGUGGGAUGAGCUCGCGGCGUAUCAGCUUGUUGGUGGGGUAGUGGCCUACCAAGGCGUCGACGGGUAGCCGGCCUGAGAGGGUGGACGGCCACAUUGGGACUGAGAUACGGCCCAGACUCCUACGGGAGGCAGCAGUGGGGAAUAUUGCACAAUGGGCGGAAGCCUGAUGCAGCAACGCCGCGUGGGGGAUGACGGCCUUCGGGUUGUAAACUGCUUUCGCUAGGGACGAAGCGCGAGUGACGGUACCUGGUAAAGAAGCACCGGCUAACUACGUG